rnacentral:rRNA from 1 species
UACGGAGGGUGCUAGCGUUGUUCGGAAUUACUGGGCGUAAAGGGCGCGUAGGCGGCCGUUUGCGUCGGAUGUGAAAGCCCGGGGCUCAACCUCGGAACGGCAUUCGAUACGGGACGGCUAGAGACCGGGAGAGGAGAGUGGAAUAGCCAGUGUAGAGGUGAAAUUCGUAGAUAUUGGCUGGAACACCCGUGGCGAAGGCGGCUCUCUGGUACGUGACUGACGCUGAGACGCGAAAGCGUGGGGAGCGAACAGG